GCAGAACUUAAGUCACGAUUCCACAACACACCGACUGGGCUGCUGCUCCAGAGGCUUGGGCGAAGAGGUCAUAAGCAACAGAAGAGCCUUGGAUGGCCAGUUCUCCGGAAGUGUGGGAGACAUCUGAUACUCUGCUAGGAUUUGUCGAG